rnacentral:rRNA from 1 species
CCUACGGGAGGCAGCAGUAGGGAAUAUUGGGCAAUGGGCGCAAGCCUGACCCAGCCAUGCCGCGUGCAGGAAGAAGGCCCUCUGGGUUGUAAACUGCUUUUGGGAGGGGACAAAAAGCGGGUGCGCCCGUAAUUGAGUGUACCUCCAGAAUAAGCACCGGCUAACUCCGUGCCAGCAGCCGCGGUAAUACGGAGGGUGCAAGCGUUGUCCGGAUUUAUUGGGUUUAAAGGGUGCGUAGGCGGCCCGAUAAGUCGGGGGUGAAACCCACAGGCUUAACCUGUGGAGUGCCCUCGAUACUGUCGGGCUUGGGUUAUCUCUAGGCGGGCGGAAUGGAAGGUGUAGCGGUGAAAUGCAUAGAUAUCUACCAGAACGCCGAUAGCGAAGGCAGCUCGCUGGGGAUAUACCGACGCUGAGGCACGAUAGCGUGGGGAUCAAACAGGAUUAGAUACCCUGGUAGUCCACGCCGUAAACGAUGGCCACUCGGUGUCGGCAUUAAGUGUCGGCGCCCAAGCGAAAGCGUUAAGUGGCCCACCUGGGGAGUACGCCGGCAACGGUGAAACUCAAAGGAAUUGACGGCNGAGACGNGCGACGACGACGACGAGGAGAGG